ensembl:lncRNA
ACAAAAUACAUGCAAACUUUCAAAAGCACCUCUUCUCUGAAAUUACUCCCACUUUUCUUCUGAUGUCUCAUUAAAUUAAAAAUGUAUCUUUCACGAGGGGAAUAUUUUUCUAUGAAAAGAAUGAAAGAAAGACAUUCUUUUCUGAAGCAAGAAGAUUGCAUGAGGUGGGGAUGCCAGUGAAAAGAUCAAAACUCACUACAGAUAAUCCUUGAAGUGGCAGCUGCAUGUCAGCAAAGUGGGUCUGUCAGAGAGGAUACAGAGAAUGUGCAAAAAAAAAGCUUGGUAUGAACUGGAACAUCCAUGUGGACAAUUAAUGCAUUGCAGAAGCUUCUUUUUCAAGAGGGCCAGCCCUAAGGGAAGAGAGUCUUAGGAGAAACAGCAAAUAGUACAGAUAGCUAUCAUGGGGUUUCAGACUGUAGCAGGAUAUUUAUGUGGAUUUUCAUGAAAACUCCCUGUGUCCUGUACAGUGGGAGGAAGGGUCUGUCAGUCCACAUGCAGUGUAGUUUCAAGAAGAACCUCUGGCAUGGCAUCUGCUCAGAGGAACAGUUAGUUUGUAGAAACAGGGUCUGUGUAUAAGCAAGAUUUCCCAUUACACAUGUUGUACUGUGAUUUCCUUUGAAGUUCAAGGUGUUUUUCUUUUCCAUACUAAUCAAAUGCUGUUUGAUAAUUUUGCAGAGGGAAAACGUUGUAGAAAAACACAAUAUUAAUCCCAAUAAACACAUGAAUGGGGAGUCAGAAAAUCCAAUUUCCCAGCAAGCUGAAAUGGACACUCUGGAAAAUCUCAGAAAUCAUGACAGUAAGACUUUCCCUUCUGUAGUAACCCUGGCAGUGCCAGACGCUAUUCAACAAGAUGAGAUUGCAAUUACAUCUGAAAAACAGGAAAAACUGACAAAAGUUUCCAAGUUUGCAAACAGAGAGUUGGUUCAUCUUGGGCCUCCUACAUCAUCAAGCAAAACUACACUAUGUGGACCCACAUAUCAGCCACUUUUGGACUUCCAGGAGACUCUGAAGGAUUUUGAGGAUUUGACUGAAGCCAGAAAAUCAUGCCUUCAGGAAAGAUCACAGACCACAGCAGCAACCAACCAACCUCCUUCAAACAUCCAAGCAAUGACAAGCACAAGCAAAGUGCCUCCCCGCUCACUAAUGGCAAACAGAGCUAUUACCAGGAGUCCUUUGCCUCAGCAGGACAUGGGGUUUAAAGACCUUCUGAAGGCAGUAGAUGACAGUAUUUCCAUGCGAACACAAUGGCACGCUGGUAAAGAAGGCACCAACCUCCUAAUGACUGUGUCUCCCCAGAUCUCCCCUCUUCCCAGGCUGCAACAAAUUGCCCUGAGAGAAACCAAGGCUAGAAAGAUUUCCAGGCUUGAUGGAUCACAGCAACAUACAAAUAUCUGCCCGCUGAUUUUAGUCAAUGGUUCAAAACCACCAGCCUUCCCCAUGUCCCAUGAGCAAAUGCUUACUGUAAGAAGUAUGAAGCAGUCUAAAGAAAAAACAACUUAUUGUUGCAACAAGAAAGCUAAGAAAAACUUGAACCAACUCAGACAUACAUCGAAAACUACAGACCUAAAUCUUCCAGCUUUAUCUCCACCGUACCAAGCCAGGCUGGGGGAAAAAUCAGAGAUUCUAAGGUUAAAUUUUGCAUAAAUAAAGCACUCACAGAGCAUCAGAAGAAAACAAGUGGAAAGAGUGGGAAAGAAAUAAGGAUGGUCAGAAACCAAGGGAGAGGAGGAAGGAAGGAGAGGUUUAUCCAAUCUUAACAUAUGACAUCUCUAAACACAAAGAAGGAUGAUAUGUGUAUCCUCUGAUUUCUAUCACAUAUUGAGUUACAAAUUUUUCGGAGCACACCAAAGAUGCAGAAGAAUAAACACCGCUGUAACAGAACA